AUCCAGCUGAUGGGUCUCAAAUAGGACGAAACGUGCGUCCUGAAU
rfam:Schistosoma haematobium scaffold978_4, whole genome shotgun sequence.